AUAUUAAUUUAUAAUAUUCAUGUGCAUUCAUUUAUAUGCCCUUUGCUAAAAGAAAUAAUUUGAGAUAGACUGAGCUAUAUAAAUAGCCUUUUUACUCAUAUCCAUUUUAGUACCAAGUUUUUGUUAUCUUAAUGUUUUCAGCUUAAGGUCUUUCUUAUCUUCCUUUUCAAUAAAAUCCCGUAUUUCUAAGGUUUAAUUUUUUUAAAAGACACAUAAUGAGGUUUCCUUUUAUGCCAAAUCUUUUGGGAUGAAGGUCCAAAUAGGACCAGAAUGUUGAAAAACUCAGCGACAGCCCUGUCUGGGCAAGGGAGGCCGCCUUGCUUUCUGGACACUAAUUUUCUCUCCAAGCGGCAUCUUUUUCACAGCACUGAGAGGCUGGAGCGAUGACUUCAGGAGGGGGAUGGGGAGCAGAUGUCACUCAUUGACUCUGGGUAAUGAGAUUUCAUAUUCCGUCAAAAUCCCGAAUAGGACAGGAGAGGCCUCAUUAGUGGUUUCACGACUGAACAGGUGUAGAGGUCCCAUGCACACAGCAGGUAGAAAGAGCCCGUUUCAGCUCCAUGUGUGGAGGUGACUAGGAAAUUGGAAAGAGGGAAAAAGUGCGCCACCACAACUGCCUUCGCAGGAAAACUGCCGUGUUUAGGAGCCAAAACAAUAUGAACUCAGACCACUGGUACAGGCCCCAUCCAGAGGCCAGGAGAGUGGCGGAAGGCAGGAGACAGGUGACACGCAGCCCUAACGACGCCGGGCAGAGGGGCCACCUCUGUAGUUUGUCAGUUCCAUAUGGCCUGUCAUAAAAUUUUAGCGCUCUUUCGCCAAUGAAGUAAUAACCCUCUUAAGGCCACAAGUCAAAAAUGGGACUGCAGGGUGGAAUGAAAUCCUCUCUCCAAAACUAAUGGCAGAAGGCUCUUCAGAAGAUGGGCUGCCCUGGAAGCAGCGUGUGAAUAAAAUGUUCCCGAGUGUGCAUAAGCCUGGCUGGCAGUCUGGCGGCUGUCCGCUCAACCAGCGUCCUUCUCCGGAGGUAGCAAUCGAGGAACCAAGCCUGCCGCCAGUCUGCCAAAGGACGGCCGCAGGGAGGCCAGUGUGGGCGUUACUUCCCGCUGGAAUGCUCCUCGGCAAGCCCGCAGUGCCCAAGGUGUGGACACGCUGCUCCGGGCGUUUAACGGGCACCUUCGGGAGUGAGACGGGCGCGUAAGCCCCUCCUGGCUGAAUGCCCAAGGUGUUUCUGAGUGGCCGUUUAGCCUGGAGCCGCAAGCGCAGGGUCAGACCCACUGCACACAGUUGCCAUGUAAGUGGUUGAUGCUAAAGUGUCUUGGGAAAAACCGGAAAAUUUCUUGCUUAACCAGAAGAAGUAUGGCCUCCAUGAAGUCUCUGCUGGACUCUUUCUGAUCACUGACGUCCUGUGGAAGGACCUGACCAGUGGGACACUCAUACUCAAAAGCCAUAAUAUUACAUACUCAAGUACCAAUGCUAAUAAUACCACUUUCUUCAGAAUAAUAAUCUACAGAAGAUCAUUUUACAUCCAUGAAAAAUAUUUCCGGAGGUAAAAUGUUUGCAAGGAUCAACAAAGAAUAAAACAAAGUACAUUAUU